rnacentral:lncRNA from 1 species
GUAAACACCAAAGUGUCCUUGACACAGUCACUGACUACACCCGGAAAGUGAGAGGUGCUGUGUGCCUACAACCGGCUGCAGACAGGCAUUGUUCUUUACCUCUUGAGAUGACACAUUCAUCCACUGCAAGCCACUUCCCACAGAAGAGCCCCUGGCAUUUCCUAUGUGUAUGACAGACAUUAAGGGGUUAAAUGGAGACUUAAGAUCUAUCAGCCUGGUUCAGCCCAUUCUCCUGUGGUGGACACAUCGAUGAUCACUGGUCUUUCCAUGUGACCCUUUGCACUUUCCUAAGUAAAAGAGAGCACACCUUGCAAGA